UACGGAGGGGGCAAGCGUUACUCGGAAUUAUUGGGCGUAAAGGGCGCGUAGGCGGUCGUGUGCGUCGGAGGUGAAAUCCCCGGGCUUAACUCGGGAGCUGCCUCCGAUACGGCAUGGCUUGAGUCCGGGAGAGGGGAGCAGAAUUCCCAGUGUAGCGGUGAAAUGCGUAGAUAUUGGGAGGAAUACCAGUGGCGAAGGCGGCUCCCUGGACCGGUACUGACGCUGAGGCGCGAAAGCGUGGGUAG
rnacentral:rRNA from 1 species